CCUACGGGAGGCAGCAGUAGGGAAUUUUCGUCAAUGGGGGAAACCCUGAACGAGCAAUGCCGCGUGAGUGAAGAAGGUCUUCGGAUCGUAAAGCUCUGUUGUAAGUGAAGAACGGCUCAUAGAGGAAAUGCUAUGGGAGUGACGGUAGCUUACCAGAAAGCCACGGCUAACUACGUGCCAGCAGCCGCGGUAAUACGUAGGUGGCAAGCGUUAUCCGGAAUCAUUGGGCGUAAAGGGUGCGUAGGUGGCGUACUAAGUCUGUAGUAAAAGGCAAUGGCUCAACCAUUGUAAGCUAUGGAAACUGGUAUGCUGGAGUGCAGAAGAGGGCGAUGGAAUUCCAUGUGUAGCGGUAAAAUGCGUAGAUAUAUGGAGGAACACCAGUGGCGAAGGCGGUCGCCUGGUCUGUAACUGACACUGAGGCACGAAAGCGUGGGGAGC
rnacentral:rRNA from 1 species